AUCUCUUUUUUCAUGUUUCUAGCUGCUCCUCCUUCUUACUUCUUCCUUUCGUGAAUUUUCCGUUUCUCUGAUGCCUUCUUUGGAGCAGUAUUCAACCAUGGGUGUGUGAUACUACUCUUCUUCAACCGCUUCAAAAGGUGUAUGUAUCCAUUCAAAGUUCCAUCUGGAGUCUAAGAGGAACUUAAUCCAGUGCUUCGACUUCCAUGUCUCAAAAGGUGCGUAUUGGAAUCGAUUCUGAAUGUGUGGUCCUCAACUUUUGCUGGUGGAACUCUUUGUAAACUCAUAUCCAAGACUAGGACUGUUGGAAUCAUCAUUCAAUAACUCAUCUCCGAGUAUUUCCUCUUCUUGACUGGACGGAAUGUUGAUCUCUUCCUUAUUGUUGUACACCCCCUUAUGUUCUACACUCAUUUUUCUAUCUUCUACAUGUGCAUAUGUCAAUGUUGAAUUGGGUUGAGGUUCUUGUCCAUUAUCCCUUAGACUUGCUUCAUUUUUGUUCAUAUUUUGUUGUGUUAUGUUGUCCCCUGUUUGCUCUUUGCCUUUGUGAUUUCCUCCAUGUAACACAGGUCCAAAAGACUUAGUUACCCAUUUUUUUUAGCUAAUUAUCCUUUUGUAAUUAUGUAGUAUCUUGUUGUGACUUAUCGUUUCCCUUGCUGAUAUCAUAUAUGUAUUCUUCUUCAUGUGCAAGAGCACCAAAUUUGUUACUCAUCACAGUGGUGGAUGUGUUUGAUUUACUGGGACAACCUCUUCUAUCUUUAA